rnacentral:rRNA from 1 species
ACAAGAACGCCCGGGCUUCGGCCUGGUUAUUCAUAACCCUUUGUUGUCCGACUCUGUUGCCUCCGGGGCGACCCUGCCUUCGGGCGGGGGCUCCGGGUGGACACUUCAAACUCUUGCGUAACUUUGCAGUCUGAGUAAACUUAAUUAAUAAAUUAAAACUUUUAACAACGGAUCUCUUGGUUCUGGCAUCGAUGAAGAACGCAGCAUGCAUCGAUGAAGAACGCAGCGAAAUGCGAUAAGUAAUGUGAAUUGCAGAAUUCAGUGAAUCAUCGAAUCUUUGAACGCACAUUGCGCCCCCUGGUAUUCCGGGGGGCAUGCCUGUUCGAGCGUCAUUUCACCACUCAAGCCUCGCUUGGUAUUGGGCAACGCGGUCCGCCGCGUGCCUCAAAUCGUCCGGCUGGGUCUUCUGUCCCCUAAGCGUUGUGGAAACUAUUCGCUAAAGGGUGUUCGGGAGGCUACGCCGUAAAACAACCCCAUUUCUAAGGUUGACCUCGGAUCAGGUGG